UUCCCAUUCGACCAGAGCACUAGACCGACUGCCCCCAGGCCCCCACCCCUACUAACCCUAGCGGCGGCGCGCGGCGGCCCAGCACACGGCAGCACCAGAGGCGCGCGGCGGCCAGGCAACGGUUGCGGCCCGCGGUCGGGCUCGGAGCCAGGCGGUGGCGCAACGCGCGCGGCGUUGCCUGUGCGGUCGGGCUCGCCGGCUCGUGGGUCGGGGGCGGCGGCGCCUGCAGACCUGGGCACCUGGCUCAGAGGGCCACACGACCACACUGCAGCUUGACCGGCGGCGGCGCAGCUGCGCGCGCAGGCCAGGAGACGCAGCCGCAGCGCCCCUGUUUGCUUUGCUUCCUCUUCAGCUCUUCCAUUUCUUCAACGAUUCGGAGAAAAGAAAGCGGGCGAUGCAGGCGAAGAAGCUGACGCUGCUGCAGACGGUAGCGGCAGCUGGAGUCUUCUCCGCCGUUUCCUGCUGGUAUGGCUUCAUGUUUGGGAGGGAGUCCGCGCGGCGAGAGCUUGGUGGCAUCAUAGACGAGCUCCGCAAGUCCACCACCACCUCGACCACUUCCUCUGAACCCGAUGCUAAUUCCAAGCCAUAGUAUGGUAUGCUCCUUCCCCACUCUAAAUGUGGUCAAUUUUGUUUGUGGAUCUUGUAAGGUAGAUGGAGUAACCAGUCUUGGAGAUGUUUUUUUAUCGACUGUUAGUUUUGCUACUUUUGCCCCCUCCAAAAUGUGCAAUUCAGCUUGAACAUCUAUUUAGUUUGGUUGAGGGGACAGUUAGACAGUAUAUUGAUGGCAAAAUUGGCUGCUGGACACUGAAAAAAGGUGGCUUUUGCCACAAGCCAUUAAAAAAGGUUGGCUUAGCUACAACAUACUACAAUUCAGUGCCCAAAUCACAUCUAUCGGACUCGCUGGCUCCCUGCAGCAGGCCUGGCCCUCGGCAGGCGACGACGCCGACCGCCAGAGGAGCACAGGGAACGGAGUACGAAAUGAGCAGACGAGCACAGGGAGGCCACUUGAACUCUAGGGACGAGGCUUACUGCCACCAGGCAAGUCAAGGUCUAUCGCUUGGCUUGUUGCAACCGGGCACGAGAUGUAGGUUUUCCAAGGGGAAAUUGAAAUCCGGGCAGGUCACGCUGCAAAAACUUUGGUCUCGUUUUGCAAAGAAAGAAGAAAUUCAAUUCUGAAAGACGAACUAUCCUGCAACCGCAAGCGGCAAGCCUAUCGUUUGAUUCUUGAUCCAAGUAGCCCAGAGAGCAGCCGCAGCACAAACAUGUAGGCGGCGUCUUCGGUAGUAGUUUGCAGGCGCCGGCCUGUGCGAACCCGCCGCGGAUGGGCGCGACACUGAUCGUCGGUCCGUUCUGUGCAGGUGGACGGGGCUCUGGCUGCCGCCCCUGAGUGGCACGGCUCUGGGUGCCGCACGGACGAGUGCGGCCCCAAUGCCGAACGCCCUCUGCAACGUGGUCGGGAAUAGGUCGUCAGAGCAGGAGAGGGGCGGCCGCCGGGGAUCGCCGGAGCCAGCAGAGGAGCGGCUGCAGGUGUAUUUUGGGGUGGAAGGAAUUGAGAUAAGGGAUCCAGGUCUGCAGUGCCAAGAACAAGAUUGUGUGUUCAUCAUGAAUGAUCUGGUUGGCAAUUAGAAGUGUUCGCCAAGGAGAAAGAUUGUAAGAUGCAGCUAUACUUAUGUUUGGAGGGUUUCUGUUUUACUGAGGCCACAUUUUGAAUUUAAAGAAACGGAAGAUGAUAUUGCUGGGUUUGUGGCGAGAAUACCCGUUCUUUCCCUUAUUAACGAUAUGUUGCGCAGAUGUCUUCACAGAUAUAUAGCAGAACUGCUGAUAUGUGAUUAGUUCAUUCACGUUAUUAACUUAUUAUUGGGCUCAUAUCA